AGGAGCGAACAAUGGGAGAGAAGAGGCCCUGCGAGCACGCGAGGUGCUCCGGAAGCAGCAGUCCCUGCGGCCAAAGGAGGAGCGGGCUGUGCCCCCGCAGCCCACGGGCACUGCGCCGAACACGUCUCCACGUGCGGUGCGGAGGAGCCCGCAAUGCUGCAGUGGAUGGGGCUCGGAGAGAGUGCAGCCCACGGAAAGCCCCGCAGGAGCGGUCCCGUGGCGGGGUGGGCCUUGGUGGGACGGGAGGGCUGUGUUGGAGCAGUGCGCUCCUGGAGGCUGGGCCCCCGAGGUAGGAAUCCGCGUCGGAGCCGUGUCGAGCUAACCGCAGCCUGCGGGAGCCCAAACAGGAUCAGUUCCGGAAGGACUGCGUCCCGUGGGAGGGACCCCGCGCAGAGCAUGGGCAGAGGCUGACCGUGGAGGAGGCAGAGACAAAGCAUUAUGGGUUUAUAGCAGCCCCCCGAGCACCGUUCGGGGCAGCAGAGGGAAGUUGGUGGGGAAAGACAGGUGCAGAAAGGAGAGGGAAGAAGGAAUUGAAAAUGACAACUCUGAAACUCGGUGUUCUGGAUGGAGUAAACAUGGAUACAGGGGAGAAAAACAUCCCACACACCAGGGAAACUCAAAGAGGUCUUCUAAAUAAGGAAAUGAAGAGGAGCCAGUCCAGCUGAUCAGUAGCCUAAAUAUUUUUAAAAUAAAAACACUGAAUGAGCAAGAUCCUCAGCCUGAAUUAAAUGUGUUUUAACUCCAGUAGCGCAAUGGGCACUUAACAGCGCCUUGAAGGAGCAGCUAGUUUCUCAGAGCAAGGAGACCUUGAACUGCACAAAGGCAGAGUACCAGUUUGUGUUCCCUUCCUUAAACCCUGGGAUGUGGGAAAUGAAAAGGGGAGGAAGGGCUAUUCUAUGGCUGGAGGGGAGGAAGUUCGCUGCAAUGUCUUGCUGGCUGCAGGAACACACCUGCCCAAACCCUACCAGCUGAAAGGAGAUCUCUGCAAGUUACAGCGCGGCUCCCUCAGGACUGAGUAACGAGGCAGUGAAUAGAAGAAUUGCUUUCCUUUCUACAGGAUGCACCUUUGCCAGUCAAUCCCAGAUGACUCAGAUCACGGACUCACUGGAUAAAAACAUAUAUCCAGUGCAAAGCAGGAACAUGGGCAGAAAUGCAGAUGUGUCGCUCAUCUUACAAUGCAAAGAUAAGAAUGUCAGUUUCCUUCAUUGUCAGACAGUCUUGUCUUGGUCAGCAGGACCAAGGAUUGAGGCUUAAAUUCACCUUUUCCCAACAAAAUGCUACUUAACAGAAAAUAAAAGAAACGAAACAGUAAAUACAAAAAUAAGCAUAUGGUAUUGGAGUCCAUCAAGAGCAUGAACAGUCUCUGCUAUCAUUUCAGUUUAUUGGUCCUACACA